GCAAGUCGAAUGGGUUUAGACCCAUGGCAGACGAGGUAGGAACACGUAGGUACAUACCGUAGAGUCGGGGAUAACCUGGAGAAAUCCAGAAUAAUACUCGAUGGUCCCUUCGGGGUAAAGAUUUAUCGCUCUAUGAAUGGCCUGCGUUCUAUCAGCUUGAUGGUAAGGUAACGGCUUACCAUGGCUACGACGGAUAGGGGAGGUGAGAGCCUGACC
rnacentral:rRNA from 1 species